rnacentral:rRNA from 1 species
GACGAACGCUGGCGGCGUGCUUAACACAUGCAAGUCGAACGGAAAGGCCAGGCGUUUGUGGGGUUCUCGAGAGGCGAACGGGGGAGUAACACGUGAGUAACACGCCCCUGACUGUCGGAUAACACCACGAAACAGGGGCGAAAACCGGAGAGGAGCUCCUGCAGCACGGGGGGGGAUGGAAAGAGUCGGCGGUGCGGGAUAGACUGGCGGCUUAUGAGCUGGAUGGUGGGGUAGGGGCUUCCCACGGCUUCCACGGGUAGCCGGCCUUGGAGGGUGACCGGCCACCUUGGGACUGCGGUACGGCCCAGACUCCUACGGGCGGCAACAGUGGGGAAUCUUGCGCAAUGGGCGCACGCCUGAUACGGCGACGCCGCGUGCGGGAUGACGGCCUUCGGGUUGUAAACCGCUUUCGCCUGUACCGAAGCGUGCGUGACGGUAAUGGGUCAAGAAGCCCCGGCUAACUACGUG